AACGAACGCUGGCGGCAUGCCUAACACAUGCAAGUCGAACGAGACCUUCGGGUCUAGUGGCGCACGGGUGCGUAACGCGUGGGAACCUGCCCUUAGGUUCGGAAUAACUCCCCGAAAGGGGUGCUAAUACCGGAUAAUGUCUUCGGACCAAAGAUUUAUCGCCUUUGGAUGGGCCCGCGUUGGAUUAGCUAGUUGGUAGGGUAAAAGCCUACCAAGGCGACGAUCCAUAGCUGGUCUGAGAGGAUGAUCAGCCACACUGGGACUGAGACACGGCCCAGACUCCUACGGGAGGCAGCAGUGGGGAAUAUUGGACAAUGGGCGAAAGCCUGAUCCAGCAAUGCCGCGUGAGUGAUGAAGGCCUUAGGGUUGUAAAGCUCUUUUACCCGGGAUGAUAAUGACAGUACCGGGGGAAUAAGCUCCGGCUAACUCCGU
rnacentral:rRNA from 1 species